rnacentral:lncRNA from 1 species
GCUUUGCGUUCGAAGGAGAAAAAACAUCUUGUCAAAGCUACUUCGAGGGAUGAGAAAGCUCUUGUAUCUCUUGUUGGUCGACGGAGGGGCAGAUUGAAGGUUAACGACAAUUUGUUUUGUUUUUACUGCAAACGGAAAGGGACAUUUGAAAGCAUUGCGAUAAGUUGGAGGCUAAAGGCAAUUUAGCUACAAAUCAUUGAGCGCAAACUUUGACUUUAGACGAAACAAAUGUUGUUGAAGAUUUUUCAGACGACGAAGAUGUAAUGUUGAUUGUGGCAUCUGAUGUGAAAUCCAGGCCUGACGACGAGUGGGUUCUCAAUUCGGCAUGUUCGCAUCAUAUGUGUUCCAAUCGAAAAUUCUUUCAGACAUAUGAGGCUAUUCAGCAAGGUGGAAUUGUAAUGAGAAACGACCAGUCUUACCACAUUGCUAGGACCGAUCGAGUCAUAUUGAGGCUGCGGGAUGGGACAUUCAGAAUAAUUACGCAAGUUCGACAUAUUCCUGACCUGCAAAGGAAUCUUAUCUUACUGAGCGCCCUAGAUGCAAAAGGGUAUAAAUUCUCUGGUGGAGAUGGAGUAUUGAAGGUCUAAAGGAGUGUCAGGUUAUACUUGAGGGACGGAGAAGAUCUCAGUUGUACAUGUUGUAGGGAAGCGUAGAACCAGUUAAGAGAUAUUUGGACAAAUUUGGUAUCGUAUUGGAUAUUCAAUUAGGUACAAUACCUUUUGUGAUGGGCUCUGGGUCAGUUCAGAAGAUUGCUCAAUGGAGCGUAGGUAAUUUCGCUUUGCCACCAAUAUUAGCGAUUGCACUGUGUUCAAAUACCAGGAUUCGAUAUAUGGAGCAUAGGUACAAUGUGGUCGGCAAUGUCUAUGAUCCUUUUGGGAUCUUUGAAGGUGACAGUUCUGGAAAGGGAC